rnacentral:rRNA from 1 species
GCCAGACUCCUACGGGAGGCAGCAGUGGGGAAUAUUGCACAAUGGGGGGAACCCUGAUGCAGCGACGCCGCGUGAGUGAAGAAGUAUUUCGGUAUGUAAAGCUCUAUCAGCAGGGAAGAAAGAAAUGACGGUACCUGACUAAGAAGCCCCGGCUAACUACGUGCCAGCAGCCGCGGUAAUACGUAGGGGGCAAGCGUUAUCCGGAUUUACUGGGUGUAAAGGGAGCGUAGACGGCGAUGCAAGCCAGACGUGAAAGCCCGCGGCUCAACUGCGGUAGUGCAUUUGGAACUGUAUGGCUGGAGUGCAGGAGAGGCAGGCGGAAUUCCUAGUGUAGCGGUGAAAUGCGUAGAUAUUAGGAGGAACACCAGUGGCGAAGGCGGCCUGCUGGACUGUAACUGACGUUGAGGCUCGAAAGCGUGGGGAGCAAACAGGAUUAGAUACCCGUGUAC